UACGAACCGGACGAACGUUAUUCGGAAUCAUUGGGCUUAAAGGGUGCGCAGGCGGCCGCAUAAGUCGGGUGUGAAAUCCCUCGGCUCAGCCGAGGAAUUGCGCCCGAUACUGUGUGGCUUGAGGGAGACAGAGGCGAGCGGAACUGAUGGUGGGGCGGUGAAAUGCGUUGAUAUCAUCAGGAACACCGGUGGCGAAGGCGGCUCGCUGGGUCUCUUCUGACGCUCAUGCACGAAAGCUAGGGUAGCGAAAGGG
rnacentral:misc_RNA from 1 species